rnacentral:rRNA from 1 species
CGCGUAGGCGGUUAUAUUAGUCAAGCGUGAAAGCCCCGGGCUUAACCUGGGAACUGCGCCUGAAACGGUAUGACUAGAGGACGAGAGAGGAAAGCGGAAUUCCUAGUGUAGAGGUGAAAUUCGUAGAUAUUAGGAGGAACAUCAGAGGCGAAGGCGGCUUUCUGGCUCGUUACUGACGCUGAGGCGCGAAAGCGUGGGGAGCAAACAGGAUUAGAUACCCUGGUAGUCCACGCUGUAAACUAUGAGUGCUAGACGUUGGUUCUUUAUGGAUCAGUGUCGCAGCAAACGCAUUAAGCACUCCGCCUGAGUAGUACGGUCGCAAGAUUAAA